GGCUGUGUGAGUUCUUCUGCUGAGUCUCAAGCCAACCAGCUAUAUGCAGUGUAUUUUUCUGAUUAUUAUUUUAUAAAUUUUCAAACCGUCAAGCUAGCAACAACUCAGCACUAAAAAAAAAUAAAAUAAUAACAAAAUUGAAAGACCUAGUAAUUCAAAAAGAUAAAAACUACCUACCACAAGAAGUGCAACUGCAAUAAUAAUUUUUAAAAAUAUAAAAAAACAAUUAAAAAUUGUUUCAAAAAAUAUUUUUUAAAGAAAUACCUACAUCAACAGGAAAAAAAAGGCAUGAAAUCCCCAACCCAAUAGUGCUGAUAAACCAAAUCCAAUCAAACAAAACAAAACAAAAAAAAAAAAACUAAAUAAAUAUUCAAAGCAACAACAACAACUUUUAAACUAUUGUAACACUAAAGGUUCCAUAAAAAAAAAAAAAAACAAAAAUUA
rnacentral:sRNA from 1 species